rnacentral:misc_RNA from 1 species
GAUGAAGAACGCAACGAAAUGCGAUAAGUAAUGUGAAUUGCAGAAUUCAGUGAAUCAUCGUAUCUUUGAACGCACAUUGCGCCCGCCAGUAUUCUGGCGGGCAUGCCUGUUCGAGCGUCAUUUCAACCAUCAAGCCCCAGGCUUGUGUUGGGGACCUGCGGCUGCCGCAGGCCCUGAAAACCAGUGGCGGGCUCGCUGUCACACCGGGCGUAGUAGAUUUUAUCUCGCUCUGGGCGUGCUGCGGGUUCCGGCCGUUAAAAAACCCUUUUAACCCAAGGUUGACCUCGGAUCAGGUAGGAAUACCCGCUGAACUUAAGCAUAUCAAUAAGCGGGGGA